GGUACUGUUGCUGCUUGUUCUAAAUGCACACAGUCAAAAAAUUGAAAUAACCUUACACAUAUAUUAAUACAUUAUAAUAUUUAGAAAAAAUAGAAAAAAUUGUGAAUUUACAAUAUGAACAGACUUAAUAAGAAAUUUUUCAUCCUCCGAGAUUUUACAUAAAUACAAUAGAAAAAUAAAAUAUUUAUAAUAUACGGUUUACUUGUAACCAAUUAAAAUUAAAUAAAUUAAUUUUCAUUUGAGUAUGACAGAUGAUGAAUUAGAGUCCAAUGAAAAAAAUAUAAAGGUUUUUGUGAGAAUUUUACCACUUGAAAAAAUAUGUGAAACAUGCGCAAAAAUUGAUACCGAACAUAAGACAAUAUGCAUAAGAUGUUUACAAGAUUUGUAUACAAGGAGAUCUGCUGUAAAGAAUCAUAUUUAUUGGUGCUUUCAAACAGAUGGAAUUUUUUAUAAUGCAUCUCAAGAAGAAGUUUAUUGUGCUACAACGAAAAAUCUUAUAGAGAAGGUUUUAGAUGGUGUAAACUGUAUAUUAUAUAGUUAUGGCCAAAUUGGCUCUGGAAAAAGUUUUACAAUUGGUGGUUUCAGAAAUAACUGGGAACACAGAGGAUUGGUUAUGCGGCUUCUGUCUGAUAUGUUUGCAGAAAAAGCAAAACGAAGGAAAAUUAAUAAGAUACAGUAUCGCUUAAGUUUUGUUGAAUUACGGGGUAAAGAAGUAAAAGAUCUUUUACUUGCUAAAACAGAAAACAGAAUUAAAGUAAAUGAUACAGAUGCAUUUAAGAAUGUGACAAUAAUAAAUAUGAAGAAUCAAGAGACAGCAUUGAAGAAACUCUUUGAAGGAGAGACUAGAAGAUCUAUGAUUACUGGUUCUGUGUACCCAGCUUCCCAUUUGGGUACUGCAGUAAUAACUUUUCAUGUUUCGAGUACGAGUUUAAUCACCUCGUGGGCCGUUGUGGCGACAGCGAAAAUACAUAUUGUAGAAAUGGCAGGAACAGGAACGGUAGGAAAACGAAAUUGCAUGAAAUCGCCGCUCGAUGUGGGUGCAGCGAAUUUAGGUCAAACUCAAGUUGAACAAUUUUUCUUAUAUUUGAGAGGCUUUGAAAUAUCUACAAAGUGUAUACUACGUUCUAAUAAUCUUUUCAAAUUUUUGGGUCAAGCUCUUUCCGUUACGUCGAUACUUCGAUUUAUUGCGCACGUAUGCAUUACAAAAGAAGAUUUAGAUUCAACAUUGUCUACUUUGCGAUUUGCUUCUACAGUUUCGAAAUUACGACCGGUUAAAAUUACAUACAACGUUAGACCACAUACCGAAACAAUCAUAUUGGAACUUAAGAAAGAGAUUAAAAUGUUGAAAAGAGAAUUGGAAUUAAAUGAAAUAUUUUUUAAUCAGGAAACAACAAUGAAUAUAUCAAAGUUAAGAUACGAACAAAUGCAUCGUGACGUAUUGAAUUUUUUAAAUGGUACAUUAUCAGAUUUAACGUUAUACAGUGUUUCGCAGAUGGAAAUAUUAUUAAAAGUUAUUAAAAAUUUAUAUCACAAAUUGAAACAAGCCGAGAUUGAUAACGUUUUGAAAAAUAUAAAUCAAAUAACUUCUUCAACGAACUUAUCGGAAUCUAAUAAUAAGAUCGUUUUACCACCCAAGAAUAGCUCGAUUUUGAAUAAAAAUGAAAAUGCUGGAUCACAUUUUUCACAAACAAGUAAGGAUAUCAUUCAAAGUUUAAAAACGGAGCAAGUGGGUGUAUUAAAUGAUACAGGUAUCACAUUAGGGAAUUCUAAUAACGAAGAAUUUGAAAAAAUUAUAAAAAUACAUAAACAUGCAAAUUCUUCAAAAGUAAAUUCGCUAAAUUUUAAUGCAAUAGAUGUCCACGAACAAUUUAAAGAGAAUAAUGAACUUUCGGUUCACUCUGUCGAAGGAGAAAAAACUACGGAAGAUUUGAAAGAUAAAUUCUAUCAAUUACAAAAUACGAUGCUACGUAUUAUCGAGACUAAACAUCAACCGAAGAAGCCCAUGAUCGUGCGGAAAAUGUGUAAAAAUUGAGUAGUAUUCAGUGAUAUUAAAUAAUAUCAAACGGAGACUUAUGAGAUGUUCAUAAAACUUGGAAUAAAAAAGUUCCGACGGAGUUCCGUCAACGCGUCGAAAUCUGGAUCAGCACCCUACCUGUCCAAUGCAGAAGGCUCAGAGUAUUGAUCACUCUCUAGGAGGAAGCUACGUUGGGGAGGUGAAUAGUGA